GUUUUUAUCUCGUUUUCGUCGCUAUUUUGAUGCUUUUCUGUUAAGCUUCGGUGGCACAGUGGUUAGUGCUCGUGCUUCACAGCUAGAAGGUCCCGGGUUUCGAUUCCCACCAGACACUAAAAACAUGUACAAUAGGCCUGGAUGAAUGAUGUGAGACUGUGUGGUGGUGUUUCUGACUGAUGUGUAACUGUUGUGAAGGAACUGUGUAAAUAAAGUAAAGACGGCGACUCCUGGAGCAGGUUAACACGACUUUAUUGACAGUUUUAAACAGAGCACAUGUACAUCAUAAAAUAUAUAUACUAGGAACUGAUGAGGAUGUAAUAAAACUGUGGAGCCGUAAAAGGACUUGUAAUGCACCAAACAUUACGUCAUUUAAAGGAAAUAGAAGGUUCUGACAUUUGCCACAAACACAAACGAUCCAACAGGAAAGAGGAAGAUUUUAGACACAACAGGAAAUGUCACUGAAACCUGAAAAAUGAGACAAAAGUGUUGAAUUGUGUCUAAUGACAAAAUAAGAGCAAAGUCAAGCAAUAACACAAGUAAAUGGAAAUAAUUGUAGAAACAAGUGAAAUUUCCUAAAAUUUAAGAUGAUAAUUUCACCAUUUCCACUAAAAUUCAAAAAUGUCUCCUUGAUUUUUGGUUCAAACGGGCGAUUCUGCGGCUCCUCAGUUUUACUCCAUCCUCACUCGGGCCUGGUUUCUGCAGAUGGAUCAGAGGAAGGCGGUGUCGGGCCUGGUUUUAGAAGAAGGCGGUGUCGGGCCUGGUUUCAGAAGAAGACGGUGUCGGGCCUGGUUUUAGAAGAAGGCGGUGUCGGGCCUGGUUUCAGAAGAAGGUGGUGUCGGGCCUGGUUUCAGAAGAAGGCGGUGUCGUGGCAGAAAGCGGCUGCCAGCCUGAACUCGUCCUUCAGGAGGACACAGAAGAGCCUCUGGGGCAGCGGGCGCGAGUACCCGGCGGGCGAGGGCACACAUGUGCGCAGCAGCAGCUCACGCCCGGCCGGAGCGGGGAAAUCCGGGACCUGCUCCGCCCGAGAGUCCGGGUCUGAGGGACCGGAGUCCGGGUCCAGAGGGGACAGCGCCGCCUGGUGGAGACAACGCAGGAGGUCAGAGUCUGAGCUCAGAGUCACGGAUUAAGAGUCUGGCUUAAUCAGAACAAACACGACCUCUGACCCCCCGCUUUAACAGAGAACAUUUUCUCCAGUUCGGCUUUAACCAAAUCUAAAAGCUUCUGGACUGGAGAGCAACAGAGUAACGCCUCAUUUGAAAGCUAAGACCUGCAAAGCUGAUCGUGACUUUUGUCGUGUUUGCCAGUUUUUCAGUCAUUUUUUUCAUCCUGGUUUUCGCCGUCAUAUUGACACAAGAGCUUUUAGAACAUUUACCUCGUCGUGGGAGAAGUCGCUCAACUUCAGCAGCAAAAACAAAACAAAUAAAACAAUAAAACAUCUGGGUUUAGAUGUAGUUAAAGGCAGAGCCGCUCAAUCAGAAAUAAACACAGAGGGUCAGAAGGAAAAGUAUUUUUACCCUCUGUGCACUGAUGAACAGCUGGUGGACGAUUUUUCCCGCAGGUCCCUGUCCCGCCCCGUCCACCUCCACCUCCGGCUCCUCCAGGAGAGCGUUCACAAACCUGAGACACAGGGACAAAACCUGAGACACAAACCUGAGACACAGGACAGUCUCUGAGAGAGAGACACUCUGCAGAGUAAAUACCGUCGGGGAAACAAGGAUUCAUCCCAGUUACAAAGGACAGAAUCUUCACAUUGAUUUUAAAUUAAUUUGUUUUUUCUCUAAAGCAGGGGUCUCGAACUCAUUUGGACUGGGGGGCCACAAAUGCAAACCCAGUGUUGGUCGGGGCAACAGACGAAGCCUUUUUAUUAAGUCAAUUAUGAUUUAGCAACUUUUUAUUGUUUGCUGUAAUAUACCUUAAAAUAGACUGUACAUUAACUAUCUGCAUAUUUUUAAGCUUCCAGACGUUUCCAAUCGGCCAAACAUUUGCUGAGCUUCUAAAUUAGAAAUUACAGAUUUAGACGAUUAGUGUUUUUGUAAUUAAUCUCAUUUUGGUUCAGGUAAAUUGGUUCAGGGCAUCAGUGAAUGAUCUUUCAGGUCAGGUCCAGUUUCUGUCUGUUUGCCUAUUUAGAAAGAAAUGCAAAAUGUACAACAAAUGUCAUUUUAAUUUAGUGUAGAAAGGCCCAACCAGGGACUGGAGCUGAUAAUGAGCACUAGCAAUAAGCUUCACCUCAUGUAAAUAAUGUGGAGUCAUUGGCCUCAGGCCUUUUUGUGACCUACAGUUAGAUAAUGGAUGGGGCUUAUACUUUUUACCAUCAAUGUUGCUGUAAUUAUUUGCAGUAUUUUUAUACAUUUCCAUAAUUCUCUAUUUUUAAUGUAACUAUGGAUCAUGUGUUCGCACACGUGUCCCAAAUAAAGAUUACAUUAAUGAUAAUGUUGCUCUGAGAGAUGGAGAGAAAAGGCUCCUCACUUUACUGUUGUGAUAGCCUGGUUUUUACCCUCGGACUCAUUUCGUUUCGUACAUGUAGGGAAAUUAUAAUUGACCGGAGUUUACGGAUGGCUAAGGCCAGCUGUUGUGACGCUUUUAAACACUAAUUACGAUGUGUUCACUUUGCAAAGUCAUAAAGGUAAAGAUGGUAAAGGUGCUUAUUGUCCUGCUGCAGUGCUGUAACUUUUCCAGCACAUGUUUAGCUGAACAACUAAAGUUUCU
rnacentral:lncRNA from 1 species